rnacentral:rRNA from 1 species
UACGUAGGGUGCAAGCGUUAAUCGGAAUUACUGGGCGUAAAGGGCGCGUAGGCGGCACGGCAAGUCAGGAGUGAAAGGCCUGGGCUCAACCGAGGAACUGCUUUCGAGACUGCCGAGCUAGGAGUGCGGGAAGGGGCAACUGGAAUUCCCAGUGUAGCGGUGAAAUGCGUCAGAUAGUUGGGAAGAACACCGGAGGCGAAGGCGGGUUGCUGGGCCGACAGCUGACGCUGAGGCGCGAAAGCCAGGGGAGCAAACGGG